rnacentral:lncRNA from 1 species
AAAAAAAAACAGUGUUUGCUCACUGAUCAACAAACAUGAGAUAAGAACUAAAGUGUUGAAUCCAAGCAUCACCAGGAAAAUCAAUAAACCUUGAUAUCUUUGCACAGCAAGUAUGUAAGGUUCUUGUGAAGUCUUGCUUUGUAAACAUGGGAAGCACCUGAUUAAUUUCACCAAAGCUACAAAGCAACACCAGGGGCAAUAUGGUCAAGUAUUGGAUCAAACGGUCUUCUCUCGCAAAGGGAGGAACUUUUCUCUUAACAAAUAUGUAGAGUAACUCUGAGUCUUUAGUUAAAACCAUAUCAAUACCAAAAUUGGAGAAAAACACCAAAACCACACCAAGGGCAAAAUGGUCCAUAAUAUAUUUAAAAGGGAGGAGAUGUUUUCAAGUUCUCUACUAAAUAGAAGAAACAAAAAAAAAACAUUAUUAAUUUUAUAAUUUUAAAAUGUAAAGCAUUUAAAACAGCAUAAAAGGUACUGACAACUACGAAAUAUUGAGCUAUAAAAAUUGGUAUUGGUAUACCCAAAACAAUGAUAUGGUGUGUGAUAACCAUUUUCUUGCAGAACCCAUUCAAAUAUCAAAUUAUGUUAUAACUUGAACCUGGAGAUUAGACUUCCAUGACCAGAGCAUCAUUUAAAAAAAUCAUUAUGUUCAUUUCAUUUUCCCAUAUAUUUAAACUACUUAUAUUCUCUGGAUGCAAUUUGUCAAAAUAAAGAUUUUAGCAGGGAUUAGACUUCCAUGACCCGAUUGAAGUUUAUAAGAAAAUCAUUUUUCCCCUUAAAAGCUUAGAUCGAACCUAUCUGAGGACUAAUCAAAGAUUCAAAAGUGAUUCAUAACCACAAACAAUAUACUAACCUUGACCUAAUUGGGUUCGAGGACUACAUUGGCUUUGUGAGGAAGAUGAAGAAUCUUGAUUGGAGAGAAAUUGAAGUGUUGAGUGUUUGUAGAUGGUGGUGGCAGAGGUGUAUUAGUAAUCUAUUAAAAGCAGGAAUUGAGCCCUACAUGUAGAUUUAAUUUUGGAUACGAUUUGGUCGUUGAUUUCUAGAGAUGUAGAGAGAAAUUGACCCAAAAUGUGAGAGAAUAUGC